rnacentral:rRNA from 1 species
AUUGAACGCUGGCGGCAUGCCUUACACAUGCAAGUCGAACGGCAGCACGGGAGCAAUCCUGGUGGCGAGUGGCGAACGGGUGAGUAAUAUAUCGGAACGUGCCCAGUCGUGGGGGAUAACGUAGCGAAAGCUACGCUAAUACCGCAUACGAUCUAUGGAUGAAAGCGGGGGAUCGCAAGACCUCGCGCGAUUGGAGCGGCCGAUAUCAGAUUAGGUAGUUGGUGAGGUAAAGGCUCACCAAGCCGACGAUCUGUAGCUGGUCUGAGAGGACGACCAGCCACACUGGGACUGAGACACGGCCCAGACUCCUACGGGAGGCAGCAGUGGGGAAUUUUGGACAAUGGGCGCAUGCCUGAUCCAGCAAUGCCGCGUGCAGGAUGAAGGCCUUCGGGUUGUAAACUGCUUUUGUACGGAACGAAACGGUGAGCUCUAAUACAGUUUGCUAAUGACGGUACCGUAAGAAUAAGCACCGGCUAACUACGUG